rnacentral:rRNA from 2 species
GGGUUGUGAGGUUAAGCGACUAAGCGUACACGGUGGAUGCCCUGGCAGUCAGAGGCGAUGAAGGACGUGCUAAUCUGCGAAAAGCGUCGGUAAGGUGAUAUGAACCGUUAUAACCGGCGAUGUCCGAAUGGGGAAACCCAGUGCAAUUCGUUGCACUAUCGUUAACUGAAUACAUAGGUUAACGAGGCGAACCGGGGGAACUGAAACAUCUAAGUACCCCGAGGAAAAGAAAUCAACCGAGAUUCCCCCAGUAGCGGCGAGCGAACGGGGAGCAGCCCAGAGUCUGAAUCAGCUUGUGUGUUAGUGGAACGGUCUGGAAAGUCCGACGGUACAGGGUGAUAGUCCCGUACACCAAAAUGCACAGGUUGUGAACUCGAAGAGUAGGGCGGGACACGUGGUAUCCUGUCUGAAUAUGGGGGGACCAUCCUCCAAGGCUAAAUACUCCUGACUGACCGAUAGUGAACCAGUACCGUGAGGGAAAGGCGAAAAGAACCCCGGCGAGGGGAGUGAAAAAGAACCUGAAACCGUGUACGUACAAGCAGUGGGAGCACCUUCGGGUGUGACUGCGUACCUUUUGUAUAAUGGGUCAGCGACUUAUAUUCUGUAGCAAGGUUAACCGUAUAGGGGAGCCGCAGGGAAACCGAGUCUUAACUGGGCGUUAAGUUGCAGGGUAUAGACCCGAAACCCGGUGAUCUAGCCAUGGGCAGGUUGAAGGUUGGGUAACACUAACUGGAGGACCGAACCGACUAAUGUUGAAAAAUUAGCGGAUGACUUGUGGCUGGGGGUGAAAGGCCAAUCAAACCGGGAGAUAGCUGGUUCUCCCCGAAAGCUAUUUAGGUAGCGCCUCGUGAAUUCAUCUUCGGGGGUAGAGCACUGUUUCGGCUAGGGGGUCAUCCCGACUUACCAACCCGAUGCAAACUACGAAUACCGAAGAAUGUUAUCACGGGAGACACACGGCGGGUGCUAACGUCCGUCGUGAAGAGGGAAACAACCCAGACCGCCAGCUAAGGUCCCAAAGUCAUGGUUAAGUGGGAAACGAUGUGGGAAGGCACAGACAGCCAGGAUGUUGGCUUAGAAGCAGCCAUCAUUUAAAGAAAGCGUAAUAGCUCACUGGUCGAGUCGGCCUGCGCGGAAGAUGUAACGGGGCUAAACCAUGCACCGAAGCUGCGGCAGCGACACUAUGUGUUGUUGGGUAGGGGAGCGUUCUGUAAGCCUGCGAAGGUGACCUGUGAGGGUUGCUGGAGGUAUCAGAAGUGCGAAUGCUGACAUAAGUAACGAUAAAGCGGGUGAAAAGCCCGCUCGCCGGAAGACCAAGGGUUCCUGUCCAACGUUAAUCGGGGCAGGGUGAGUCGACCCCUAAGGCGAGGCCGAAAGGCGUAGUCGAUGGGAAACAGGUUAAUAUUCCUGUACUUGGUGUUACUGCGAAGGGGGGACGGAGAAGGCUAUGUUAGCCGGGCGACGGUUGUCCCGGUUUAAGCAUGUAGGCUGGUUGUCCAGGCAAAUCCGGAUAAUCAAGGCUGAGGUGUGAUGACGAGGCACUACGGUGCUGAAGUAACAAAUGCCCUGCUUCCAGGAAAAGCCUCUAAGCAUCAGGUAACAUUAAAUCGUACCCCAAACCGACACAGGUGGUCAGGUAGAGAAUACCAAGGCGCUUGAGAGAACUCGGGUGAAGGAACUAGGCAAAAUGGUGCCGUAACUUCGGGAGAAGGCACGCUGGUGUGUAGGUGAAGUCCCUGCGGAUGGAGCUGAGACCAGUCGAAGAUACCAGCUGGCUGCAACUGUUUAUUAAAAACACAGCACUGUGCAAACACGAAAGUGGACGUAUACGGUGUGACGCCUGCCCGGUGCCGGAAGGUUAAUUGAUGGGGUUAUCCGUAAGGAGAAGCUCUUGAUCGAAGCCCCGGUAAACGGCGGCCGUAACUAUAACGGUCCUAAGGUAGCGAAAUUCCUUGUCGGGUAAGUUCCGACCUGCACGAAUGGCGUAAUGAUGGCCAGGCUGUCUCCACCCGAGACUCAGUGAAAUUGAACUCGCUGUGAAGAUGCAGUGUACCCGCGGCAAGACGGAAAGACCCCGUGAACCUUUACUAUAGCUUGACACUGAACAUUGAGCCUUGAUGUGUAGGAUAGGUGGGAGGCUUUGAAGCGUGGACGCCAGUCUGCGUGGAGCCAACCUUGAAAUACCACCCUUUAAUGUUUGAUGUUCUAACGUUGGCCCCUUACCGGGGUUGCGGACAGUGUCUGGUGGGUAGUUUGACUGGGGCGGUCUCCUCCCAAAGCGUAACGGAGGAGCACGAAGGUUAGCUAAUCCUGGUCGGACAUCAGGAGGUUAGUGCAAUGGCAUAAGCUAGCUUGACUGCGAGCGUGACGGCGCGAGCAGGUGCGAAAGCAGGUCAUAGUGAUCCGGUGGUUCUGAAUGGAAGGGCCAUCGCUCAACGGAUAAAAGGUACUCCGGGGAUAACAGGCUGAUACCGCCCAAGAGUUCAUAUCGACGGCGGUGUUUGGCACCUCGAUGUCGGCUCAUCACAUCCUGGGGCUGAAGUAGGUCCCAAGGGUAUGGCUGUUCGCCAUUUAAAGUGGUACGCGAGCUGGGUUUAGAACGUCGUGAGACAGUUCGGUCCCUAUCUGCCGUGGGCGCUGGAGAAUUGAGGGGGGCUGCUCCUAGUACGAGAGGACCGGAGUGGACGCAUCACUGGUGUUCGGGUUGUCAUGCCAAUGGCACUGCCCGGUAGCUAAAUGCGGAAGAGAUAAGUGCUGAAAGCAUCUAAGCACGAAACUUGCCCCGAGAUGAGUUCUCCCUGAGACUUUAAGUCUCCUGAAGGAACGUUAAAGACGAUGACGUUGAUAGGCCGGGUGUGUAAGCGCAGCGAUGCGUUGAGCUAACCGGUACUAAUGAACCGUGAGGCUUAACCUUACAACGCCGAAG